AGUGAACGCUGGCGGUAGGCCUAACACAUGCAAGUCGAACGGCAGCACAGUGAGAGCUUGCUCUUACGGGUGGCGAGUGGCGGACGGGUGAGGAAUACAUCGGAAUCUACUUUUUCGUGGGGGAUAACGUAGGGAAACUUACGCUAAUACCGCAUACGACCUACGGGUGAAAGCAGGGGAUCUUCGGACCUUGCGCGAUUGAAUGAGCCGAUGUCGGAUUAGCUAGUUGGCGGGGUAAAGGCCCACCAAGGCGACGAUCCGUAGCUGGUCUGAGAGGAUGAUCAGCCACACUGGAACUGAGACUCGGUCCAGACUCCUACGGGAGGCAGCAGUGGGGAAUAUUGGACAAUGGGCGCAAGCCUGAUCCAGCCAUACCGCGUGGGUGAAGAGGGCCUUCGGGUUGUAAAGCCCUUUUGUUGGGAAAGAAAAGCAGCAGGUUAAUACCCCGCUGUUCUGACGGUACCCAAAGAAUAAGCACCGGCUAACUUCGUG
rnacentral:rRNA from 1 species